rnacentral:rRNA from 1 species
GACAGAGGGGGCAAGCGUUGUCCGGAUUGACUGGGCGUAAAGGGUCCGCAGGUGGUGCGUCACGUGGUGUGUGAAAGCGCGCGGCUUAACCGCGCGAGGCCAGACCAUACGGACGCGCUGGAGCCGCAGCGAGGGACGUGGAAUUCCCGGUGUAGCGGUGAAAUGCGCAGAUAUCGGGAAGAACACCUAUGGCGAAGGCAGCUCUCUGGGACGGUACUGACGCUGAGACGCGAAAGCGUGGGGAGCGAACAGG